UAGGUAGAAUAUGGGAGUUCCAGGACAGUUUUUCUGCUUAAAAUGGUGAUUCAGCAAAAAAAUCAUGGGGCUUCCGGGGCACAUUUUCUGCUCAAAAUUGUGACUCAUAAAAAAAAAUAAGCCCUCGAAACCGUGACUAAUCUGUUAUCAGUUCAAGGUUACUACGCCUUCAAGGUUACUACGCCGGUCAUGACCAUGAGUAAUGUUAUCAGUUCAAGGUUACUACGUCGGUCAUUUCGCCGGUCAAAAGAUUCAAUCACAACGUCAUUACGCCGGGCAAGAUCAUGAGUAAUACUAUAGUAAUAUUACAUUUAAAUGUGUAAUACUACUUUUAAUCAGUUCAUUUUUUCUUU